CAGUAGCCGCGGGAAUACGUAGGUGGCAAGCGUUGUCCGGAAUUAUUGGGCGUAAAGGGCUCGCAGGCGGUUUCUUAAGUCUGAUGUGAAAGCCCCCGGCUCAACCGGGGAGGGUCAUUGGAAACUGGGAAACUUGAGUGCAGAAGAGGAGAGUGGAAUUCCACGUGUAGCGGUGAAAUGCGUAGAGAUGUGGAGGAACACCAGUGGCGAAGGCGACUCUCUGGUCUGUAACCGACGCUGAGACGCGAAAGCCAGGGGAGCGAACAGGAUUAGAUACCCCGGUAGUCCCUGUCUCUUAUCC
rnacentral:rRNA from 1 species